UUAGCACGCCGAGCGAAAUGCGUCGCCGUAUUUCGUCUGCCGUUACGUUCUGAGUUCAAAUUCCACCGAGGUCGAAUUUGCAUUGCAUCACUUCGCGGUCGAUAAAUUAAGUAUCAGUUGCGUACUGUGGUCGAUCUAAUCGACUGCCCCCCCCCC